AUCCAUUUAAAACAGUAUUUAUAGAAACAAAUAUACCUCUAUGUCCCCCCAACCCUGCUUCCCAGUUAUGACCAUUUCCCCAAUUUUGUAUGAUCUAUCCAAAGAAUUUCCUCACCACAUGUUUUUGGCUGGAGACGAAACCUGUCAGUGCCUCCACACCGAGGUGUGCGUUCAGCUGGUGUGGACAUGCGAUGAGCCUGGCUCUGGAGCCAGAAGCUGGAGCGGCGGCUUCCUGAUUUGGCAGAUGGCUUCCUGAUGGUUUGCAAAAGAAGAGGCCGCCUUGGUGGUCCAGUUCUGCAGUCAGCUUUGGGAGCUGGUCCUGAAGAUGCAGCCUAGAAUCUGUUUCUUCAGCUUUCCAAAUAUUUCUGUAAGUCAUUCAAUACCAUUUGUGUUUAAAUUAUCCAGAAAAAAUUUUGUCUCUGCAGUUAGAAGCUAAGGAAGCCCCAACCUACGCUGUCCUUCACUCGGUUUAACCCUGCUUCAAACUGGUCCAACUUCAACCCUUCAUUCCAACCUCCAGGCCUGUGGAAUCCAAGUCAAGGUUCAAGUCUAGCUCAACAAACCAGCCCCAACCAACCCAGCCCUGACUCACCCCCUUCCAGCCAGCCCAUCUGAACUCAAUCAACUCAUCCCAAACCAGCCCAUACCAACUCUUAACCUAAAAACAAACAAACAAACACAUUUUAUUUCCAACCCCAUCUAUAUGAUCCCCUCCAACUCAACCUACCCAAUGAAUCUCAACCCAACUCAUUCCAUGUAGCACAGCCCAAGCAACUUCAUAGAUACCAGAUCUCUUUUGGAAGCCACUGCACAGAGCAAUGAGAACUUGAACUUCUCUACAGAGGUAAGGCUGCAAUCUCUGCUUAGCGUCUCCUCCUUUCCUUUCUGUUUCCUUUUUCCCAUUUCUUUCCACACCAUAGACCCUGCCUCCUUGCUUAUGAACUUUCCCUUUGGCUACCCAGUGUCCCUACAAUGAUUUCUGAUUUCAAGACACCCAGGGACAUGCUCCACACUGUCCCAGCUCUGCCUGCCUAGAGACUGCCCCCGGACCUCUGCUCUACACAGCCUAUUCAUUAGCAGGUGGGAUUUCUGUAAUCAGAAUCUAAAGAUGUUCUGCCCUGACCUCUGGAACUCCUGAAGAUACUGAGACAUGGCUCCUGUGAUUGUGUUAUAUGGUACACUUCACUGUAAGUCAGGGAUAUUAUCCGGGAUUAUCUGGGUGGUCCCAGAGUAAUCACACCAGCCCUUAAAAUGCAGCAAGCUUUCUCCAGCUGCCAGCAGAGCAGAAAGUCAGAGACACACAGAGGGAAACUUAGAGGUACUUGAAAUGUGACAAUGACUUGCCACACGGUUGCUGGCUUUGAAAAUGGAGGCAACAUGUGAGAAGGCAUGUGUGUGGCCCCGAGAAACCGUCAGUCAGCAAGAAUCAGGGAAUGCAGAUCUACAGCUGCAAGGAGCUGGAUUUUGCCCACCCUCUCUACGGGAUUGGAAGUGCCUUCUUCCCAGCACCGCCGCAGAAGACUCCAGCCAGCACCUUGACUGGGUCUGUAAGACCCUGAGCAGAGGACUCGGAUAGCCCAUCUGGAUUUCUGGGCUACAGAACUGUGAGAUAAUAAAUGAAUGUUUCUAUAAACUGCUGACUUC
rnacentral:lncRNA from 1 species